UCCUCAGUAGCUCAGUUGGUUAGAGCACCUGACUGUUAAUCAGGGAGUCGUAGGUUCAAGUCCUACCUGGGGAG
rnacentral:tRNA from 1 species